rnacentral:lncRNA from 1 species
GGAGCGUAAAACCUGUGGCAACAGCCCUGCAUCUUAUGUUGGGUUUGCAGAAUUUGGUUUUGCUGGGCUUGCAUGGAUGUCACUUGUUCCAUCAUCUCCUCUUGUUGUUGAUGCAUGGCAUAGAAUAAUCCAUCGCACUCUUGAUUUAGUGCGUUUUGGGCGUGUAUCUCAUGGAGUACAUCAUUGAUGGAGCUUCGCCUGGAUGAGGAGGAACUACCUGCAAAAGUGUUAGAAAAAUGUGUAGUGUGUGCAAGUGGAACAAUGCUUGCGCCCCCACCAGCAGCAACAUUUGGAGAAAUGUGCGUGGGAGCUCUAUUAGUCACAGGAUCAUCAGAGAUAGUUAUAAAAAAUAAAUAAAUAAAUAAAAGAAAGCAAAAAUUAAACAAGAAUUAAAGAAAACUCAUGGGUUGCCUCCCAUGCAGCGCUUUGUUUAACGUCGGUUAGCUCGACUUUUUAGACCUAUAGGUCAACAUGGUUCCUCCUCUAGACUCACAUCUUUUAAAUUAUGCUCAAUAUUC